rnacentral:rRNA from 1 species
AGUGAACGCUGGCGGUAGGCCUAACACAUGCAAGUCGAACGGCAGCACAGUAAGAGCUUGCUCUUACGGGUGGCGAGUGGCGGACGGGUGAGGAAUACAUCGGAAUCUACUUUUUCGUGGGGGAUAACGUAGGGAAACUUACGCUAAUACCGCAUACGACCUACGGGUGAAAGCAGGGGAUCUUCGGACCUUGCGCGAUUGAAUGAGCCGAUGUCGGAUUAGCUAGUUGGCGGGGUAAAGGCCCACCAAGGCGACGAUCCGUAGCUGGUCUGAGAGGAUGACCCGCCACACCGGGACUGAGACACGGGCCAGACUCCUACGGGAGGGAGCAGUGGGGAAUUUUGGACAAUGGGGGCAAGCCUGAUCCAGCCAUACCGCGUGGGUGAAGAAGGCCUUCGGGUUGUAAAGCCCUUUUGUUGGGAAAGAAAAGCAGCAGGUUAAUACCCCGCUGUUCUGACGGUACCCAAAGAAUAAGCACCGGCUAACUUCGUG